AGUGAACGCUGGCGGUAGGCCUAACACAUGCAAGUCGAACGGCAGCACAGUAAGAGCUUGCUCUUACGGGUGGCGAGUGGCGGACGGGUGAGGAAUACAUCGGAAUCUACUUUUUCGUGGGGGAUAACGUAGGGAAACUUACGCUAAUACCGCAUACGACCUACGGGUGAAAGCAGGGGAUCUUCGGACCUUGCGCGAUUGAAUGAGCCGAUGUCGGAUUAGCUAGUUGGCGGGGUAAAGGCCCAACAAGGCGACGAUCCGUAGCUGGUCUGAGAGGAUGAUUCAGCCAAAUUGAAAUGGGGCACGGUCCCAGACGCUUACGGGAGGCAGAGUGGGGGUAUAUGGACAAUGGGGGGCAAGCUGGAUCAAGCCAUACGGGUGGGGUGAAGAAGGCCUUCGGUUUGUAAGGCCCUUUUGUGGGGAAAAAAAGCCGGCGGUUUAAAACCCGGCUGUCUGGCGGUAACCAAAAGAUAAGGACCGGCUAAAUUCGGG
rnacentral:rRNA from 1 species